rnacentral:rRNA from 1 species
GAUGAACGCUGGCGGCGUGCCUAAUACAUGCAAGUCGAGCGAACGGACGAGAAGCUUGCUUCUCUGAUGUUAGCGGCGGACGGGUGAGUAACACGUGGAUAACCUACCUAUAAGACUGGGAUAACUUCGGGAAACCGGAGCUAAUACCGGAUAAUAUUUUGAACCGCAUGGUUCAAAAGUGAAAGACGGUCUUGCUGUCACUUAUAGAUGGAUCCGCGCUGCAUUAGCUAGUUGGUAAGUUAACGGCUUACCAAGGCAACUAUGCAUAGCCGACCUGAGAGGGGGAUCGGCCACAUUGGAACUGAGACACGGUCCAGACGCCUACGGGAGGGAGCAGUAGGGAAUCGUCCGCAAUGGGCGAAAGCAUGACGGAGCAACGCCGCGUGAGUGAUGAAGGUCUUCGGAUCGUAAAACUCUGUUAUUAGGGAAGAACAGAUGUGUAAGUAACUGUGCACAUCUUGACGGUACCGAAUCAGAAAGCCACGGCUAACUACGUG